rnacentral:lncRNA from 1 species
UAUUGUUGUUUGAUGGAAGUAUGUUUUUUUUAGGGUAACUUGCUAAGUGGUAACUAAUAACUACCACAAGUUUUUACAGCCAGUGGAAAGGCUUGAGGUUUCUUCUAAGACAAUGAAAGAACUUGGUAUGACAGAUUAAUAAAGGCAGCAUGUGGUCUAUUAUAUGAACAGUAGACUUUAAGGAGACAGGGAGGGUGGAGAGGGACCAAGUAAAACAUUUCUACAAUGGCUCAAGUCAAAGUUGAUUAUGACAUAGACAAAGACAAGAAAUAAAUAGAAGUUAUCAAAAAGGCUUGGUUUGGAAGAUCUCUUAGAGAUAGGAAUGAAAAGAGGGGGGUGGUGGGAGAAAGAACUACAGAAAUGUUCCAGAUUUACUACUCGAUAUAUAUUUUUAAAAAAAUUCUCCAAAGCUCAGAAUAGAGAAUUUGCCAAAAAGCCCAUCACUCAUGAUUCAUUUGUCAUAAGCCUCUACUCAUUACCAUGAAAUUAUUCAGUCAUAAUUGCUGUCUUACUGAAGCAUACAGUUGACACAGUGAAGUCUCUGCUUUCACAGAACUUUAUACUUCUGAGUAAUGACUUUGUCUAUGCCAUGGGAUGGACGUCCUAUUCAUAUUGUGUCAAUAAACCUCAAUUAACAAUGUAAAAUUAAUGAAAAUAAUGUGAGUUAUUUAUAUUAGUUUAUGUGGUAGAAGAGUACUUAAUGACAACAAACUUGGUGUAUGUGAAUAUUAAAUUAUUGUAAAUUAUUUAAAAACAAUAAGAACUAGCCUUACAUUUCACCCCCCUGGACACUGUUUUCAAGAGAAGGAAGGAAACAUUCAAGAAAAAAUAAGAUAUAACUUAGCAUAAAUAAACAGAAAGAAUAUAAAUCUCUUUCACUUUUCUUUUUUUUAAUUUGGCAAUAGAACUGUUGAUAUUACCACACUAUCUGGCUCUCUCUUUUUCCUUUAUCAGUAAACUACCCACAUUUUAACUGGGCACAUUCCUGUCAAUCUGAUGAGAAUCUAUUUCAUACCCUGCUUUAGCUGGUAGUCUGUCAAGGAAAUGAGCUGAACAUGUCUGUGUACAGCUUUUGUGCCAUCCCUGGAUGAGCGAGCUGUCUGCCUCUAUGUUCUCCACAAAAUGGAAUAUAGCUGUACACCCAAGCCAAGUUAUGGAGGCUGGGAAGACCUAGAAUGUGGCAUCACUAUUUGGUUAUUUAGAAAAUUGUUACCUCAAAAAUGACCUAGGGGUCCUUAGAAUAAUAACACACAGAAGAAUAGCCUCAUUUUUCUGUUGGGCCCAGGAAACCAUGCCGAUUACCGACCGAGCUCUCAAUGGAAAAAUGCAGUCGGCGUGAACCACGCACGAACACAGCAGAGAAAGAAGAAAACACACACCACGAGGAACCCUAAUAGGACAAUACAUUAUAAGUCACAGUGCUACGGAGAAACCCAGUAGCCACAUGGAAGCAGAGACCAUGCAUAUGCAUCUACUCCGCAGCUCUGUGAAUGUCAGCAGCUCCCACGGACUGGAGAUCCCGUGAGAUCCCGUGAGAUCUCACCCAUAGCCUCAUGGUACAUCCACUUGGUGUGCUGGGAGAGUCAGGAUGAGGACCUGAGAAGAACAGCAGCUUGAACCUGACUUCAUUUAACAGCCCACUGCCCUCUUGCCAAGAACCCAUCACAGACCUUCCCAGAAGAGAGGGAUGAGCCUCACCUAUGAAUAAGUCCUCAGAAACUCAAAUUUGAUUCUAAUGGAUUGUUUUCUCAGAAAGACUGAGCAUGUCCCCCCACAUCUCUGUCAUUUCCCACAGUAGUAACCUCUGCAGAUGCCACAUAGAAAACAAAACAAAACAAAAAAACAUGAGGUUGGUGGGCAGAUAGGCAGGGUAUAAACAAACAGCCUUGUAACCCAGAAGCUGUGUGAUAUACAGUAAACUUCACAACACUGAAAAGAUGUCCUAUCUGUUAAAAUGGGGUAAUAACAACUACCCGAAUGUUUAGGAAUAGAACUUCAAUAAAUGAUACAUUUUAUAGUACAGCAGACCAUCCUGUAAAGGUUUCAUCCUUCACUGUGGUGAUAAAUAUCCCAAACCACAUUGAAAAGCAUUGCAUCUACAUUUAUCUACACUGUAACUGUACUGUAAAUCAUGGGGGAGGGGAGAAUCAUAAAAACACCACCUGUCACCGUGUCAUUAAAGCAAGUUGGAAGUGAUACUUACAGAAACACAGCAAGAGCACCCCCAGUCACACAGUUCAAUCUCUUAGCAAGCGUUUUCUUUCUAGCCCAGUGGUUCUCAGUUUGGAAUUUUUGGCACUGCCUAGAGAUAGUUUUGUUGUUAAAACUGAGAAAAGAGCCGGGCGUGGUGGCACACGCCUUUAAUCCCAGCACUCAGGAGGCAGAGGCAGG